GCACCAGCAAAAUCUGGUGCCGGGAUUGGUCUCCCGGAAAUGAUUAAGGCGAUACACGACGCGCCUAGCGUCUUUUUU
rnacentral:sRNA from 1 species